rnacentral:lncRNA from 1 species
GAAGAAGACGACUUAUAUUAAUAAAGACAACUUGCUCCUCUCGGUAAAUCCCCAUCAUCGCCCACUAGAGACAUGGCCACAACUGGCCCUUAUCGGUGCCUCCAACACUACUUCGAGAAAUAUAAGGUUUAGAUUCUCAUUUCAUGUUAGCUUGAUUAUGGUGGACAUCAUUUACAUCUAGUUCUUCAUGGCGUGCGUUUCUUUCCUCCUUUUUUUUUUUUUUUUUUUUUUUUUUUGCGCGCUAAGCAUGAUGAAUACCAUCAUUUUCACAUUCUUAGCUCCCAUGUACAUCUCUAGCUAUCAACUCAUUAUCUUUACCGAUUUGGGUUGUGUUCUAUCUCCUUUGUAUUGGGCACUGAUGAUGUAGAAAGAUCAAUCUACGAGAUCCACAAAAAUAUGCAUGAUAUUCUUCAUCUAGGUGAGCUAGAGUUGAUCAUCUUUUUUCUCACCUAAUCCCUAGGCAGGGUGUUUUCUUGAAUCCCCGUGCCUAGGGUCAUCUAGGCACAAUCGAAGUACACCUUUAGAGCAUUGUAAUUUAGGUCACAAGUCAUACAUGAGUAAUGGUUCG